AUGAACGCUAGCGGCAGGCUUAAUACAUGCAAGUCGAGGGGCAGCAUGAGUAGCAAUACUUGAUGGCGACCGGCGAAAGGGUGCGUAACACGUAUGCAACUUACCUUCAACUGGGGCAUAACGCUGAGAAAUUGGUGCUAAUUCCCCAUAAUGUUUCAAAGAGGCAUCUCUUUGAUAUUAAAGUUCCGACGGUUGAAGAUGGGCAUGCGCGACAUUAGCUAGUUGGUGAGGUCACGGCUCACCAAGGCGACGAUGUCUAGGGGUUCUGAGAGGAUUAACCCCCACACUGGUACUGAGACACGGACCAGACUCCUACGGGAGGCAGCAGUAGGGAAUAUUGGGCAAUGGACGCAAGUCUGACCCAGCCAUGCCGCGUGCAGGAUGACAGCCCUAUGGGUUGUAAACUGCUUUUGUACGGGAAGAAACUCCCCGACGUGUCGGGGACUGACGGUACUGUAAGAAUAAGCAUCGGCUAACUCCGU
rnacentral:rRNA from 1 species